GAUGGAUGGAGUGAUGGAGUGAUGGAUGGAGGGAUGGAUGGAUGGAGUGUCAUAACAGCGGCAAUUGUGCAGCGACUCUUGUUUGAGAUUUGAACAGCGUACAGACUCUGGAGGAUGUUGCACCAGAAUCUUUUGCAUAGUCUCCAGCUGUAACAGGUAUAUUAUAUUCUGAAAGAAACUCCCCAGAUAGCAGCUGACUCUGGGCCGAAUCCGCCUCCAAACCGGCAGAUCCGUGUAACAGUCACGCCCGUUUUACUGCCCCGUUCCGGAUACGGCCCGCAUGUAGUCUGUGUGCACUCAGGAUCGGGCGUGAGCCUCCAUCAGUCGGCGGAAUCAUAAUAGUUCUGGCCCGGACUCGUCGGAACGAGCGCGCGAACUGUUUCUUUCUUUGGAUCAGUUCGGACUGGAGGCUUUGUGGAAAGAGUUUAUAACAGUUCAAUCUUUUCUUCAGCCCUGGAUUAAUAGGGUAAGUUAAGUUAAUGUAAGUAUUUUUUUCCGACUUUGAUUUGAUCUUAGCUAUAGUUGAGCAUAACGUUAUAAAGUUAUGGUAAGUUAAGUGUUUAAAAAAUCAAAGCCAUCUAAAGAAGUUGGAAUUUUCAUCUGACAUUAAUCAAAACGUAAA